GAUGAACGCUGGCGGCGUGCCUAACACAUGCAAGUCGAGCGGCAGCGCGAGUAGUUUACUACUUGGCGGCGAGCGGCGAACGGCUGAGUAACGCGUGGGAAUUUGCCCCAAAGUGAGGAAUAACUGCCCGAAAGGGUGGCUAAUGCCGCAUAUGAUCUUCGGAUUAAAGGAUUUAUCCGCUUUGGGAGAAGCCCGCGUCGGAUUAGGUAGUUGGUGAGGUAAUGGCUCACCAAGCCGACGAUCCGUAGCUGGUCUGAGAGGAUGACCAGCCAGACUGGAACUGAGACACGGUCCAGACUCCUACGGGAGGCAGCAGUGAGGAAUCUUCCACAAUGGGCGAAAGCCUGAUGGAGCAACGCCGCGUGCGGAUGAAGGCCUUCGGGUUGUAAACUGCUUUUAUGAUUGAGGAAUUUGACAGUAGAUCAU
rnacentral:rRNA from 1 species